rnacentral:rRNA from 1 species
GACGAACGCUGGCGGCGUGCUUAACACAUGCAAGUCGAACGGAAGGGCCCUGCUUUUGUGGGGUGCUCGAGUGGCGAACGGGUGAGUAACACGUGAGUAACCUGCCCUUGACUUUGGGAUAACUUCAGGAAACUGGGGCUAAUACCGGAUAGGAGCUCCUGCUGCAUGGUGGGGGUUGGAAAGUUUCGGCGGUUGGGGAUGGACUCGCGGCUUAUCAGCUUGUUGGUGGGGUAGUGGCUUACCAAGGCUUUGACGGGUAGCCGGCCUGAGAGGGUGACCGGCCACAUUGGGACUGAGAUACGGCCCAGACUCCUACGGGAGGCAGCAGUGGGGAAUAUUGCACAAUGGGCGGAAGCCUGAUGCAGCAACGCCGCGUGCGGGAUGACGGCCUUCGGGUUGUAAACCGCUUUCGCCUGUGACGAAGCGUGAGUGACGGUAAUGGGUAAAGAAGCACCGGCUAAUUACGUG